GUAGUUGACCACUCUGCGGAGCGACUGGAUGCGCGCGUUGUGGGCCUCCCAGUCGGAGCAGUUACGGAAGUCACCCCGCUCCACCAGGAGAGCAAACAAGCCCCACUAUGCCUGGGCAAAACCCCCCUGGCCACAGCCUGUCCACCAGAAGUGAGCCACCAUGACGUCAAUCCCCCUGGGAGGCCUUCGUGCUGGGGGUCUGCCUGCUUGGCAGGAGAGGUCCAAUUCAAGGGUCCAUUUUGCUGGGAAACCAGGAGGUGGAGAGAUAUCUUCCUUGAUGAUUCCUUUUUCAAAGAGGUGGCUCCCAACUCCUGGAGGAAACGUUCCUGAGUUUUCAGCCUGGCAAGCAGCUUGUUUAGCCAUUAAAAGAUGUGCAUACAUGUAAUAAGA